GUCCCUGUAGCACAAUGGAUAGCGCGUUGGACUUUUAAUCCAAAGGUCGUGGGUUCAAAUCCCACCUGGGAUG